UACAGAGGGUGCAAGCGUUGUUCGGAAUCAUUGGGCGUAAAGGGCUCGUAGGCGGCCAACUAAGUCAGACGUGAAAUCCCUCAGCUUAACCUUGGAACUGCGUCGGAUACUGGAUGGCUUGAAUUCGGGAGAGGGAUGCAGAAUUCCAGGUGUAGCGGUGAAAUGCGUAGAUAUCUGGAGGAAUACCGGUGGCGAAGGCGGCAUCCUGGACCGACAUUGACGCUGAACGGCGAAAGCUAGGGGAGCAAACGGG
rnacentral:rRNA from 1 species